rnacentral:rRNA from 1 species
UACGUAGGGGGCUAGCGUUGUCCGGAUUUAUUGGGCGUAAAGAGCGUGUAGGCGGCCAAACAGGUCCGUUGUGAAAACUGGAGGCUCAACCUCCAGACGUCGACGGAAACCGUAUGGCUAGAGUCCGGAAGAGGAGAGUGGAAUUCCUGGUGUAGCGGUGAAAUGCGCAGAUAUCAGGAAGAACACCAAUGGCGAAGGCAGCUCUCUGGGACGGUACUGACGCUGAGACGCGAAAGCGUGGGGAGCGAACAGG